AAAAUAUUUUUUCUAACAACAUUAUCAACAAUGCAUCAUACACAUAAUUCAUAAACAACGUUUGUAUUAAACCAACUUAACAGAGAGUAGUUUUGGAUUCUAAAACCCUAAGAAUUUGAUGAUGGAGCUCCUUACGUAUUCUUCACCCUCAAUGAUUUAUUGUAUAAAUAUCAAUUUAA
rnacentral:sRNA from 1 species